UGGGCUGCUUGAGAUAUCCCGAGGGGGGUUGCGGAUUGAAAAAGGAUUGAGUCUAAGAAUUUGCAGACUCUGCAAGAGGAGGGGAGGAGCCAGACAAAUAGAGCCAGUCCCCUGGCCUCCUUCCUCACUUUGCUCAGGGCUGCGUCCUUGGGCUGGCGCCCUUCUCCAGGCCUGAGACGCAGCUCUACAGGAGACCAAGUCCUGCUCUGCAGAGAACUCCUUCUCCUUCCAGAACAAGGAUCUUCAGCAGGAGUCAAGCUGUGGAUGAAGCAGGCACGUGGGUGAAGCUGGCUCCUGACCCAACUGCGAACCUAGUCCUCAGCAGUUAAAGAAAAGAUAACCACAAGGCUGGCUGAAAGCCAGUGCUCCUUCCUGCAAGUCUGGACCCAGGCUCCAGUUAAAGUUGAAGAAAUUAUCUUAGAUAAGUAGUCAAGGACGUGUGGCCAUUCAUAAUAGCAUUUAUAAUCAGCUGGAGCACUUUUCCGAUUUAUCAUUUGCUUAGGUCCCUUUGCUUGCUUCCUGAUUCAUCACUUUACCUGCCUGUUAUUGCAGUCAAUCAGAUCUGUUAUUUGUUGUGAUAUUGAUAACAGGAGAUACUUAUCUCUUGCUCUAUUUUAAUUUAACCCUUGUGGUAAUAGGGUUAGUACCAAAGUUUAGGGCCACCACUCUUUUCCCAUAUAAGCUGUUGGCCCCAACUGUAAUGAUGGCUCUUGUUGUUCUUUACUGUCUCAUCUCACUGGUGUCUGCUACUUCCUGGAAGGAAAAUACUCUAGUUAAGUUGUCUCAGAGUGUAGCCGAUGGUGGGAAUUUAAAUAAUUGUUGGAUAUGUCAUAUGAGCCCUCAUGCCAGCCAUGGACAGUAUCUCCCAUCAGUGGUCCCCAUCACUGAUUUUGAUACCAUACCAGACCCUGAGACCUUCUAUAAUCUUUCUCCUCCACGACUCACAUUCCAAGUUCAGAUAGCCAGUGGGCCUCCGAAUACCCCAACUCCUUGCUUCCACCUGUCUGAGGUAAUUUCCAUCGCAGGAAAAAUGACUACUGGUCCCCCAAGGUCCCUCAAAUUUCUUCUGAGAAAAUGUGAUGCCCAAAACCCCCCCAAGUGUACACUGAAUGAAUGUGUAAGGGCUAAUUCUGACUCCAAUUUAUGCCAGAAAGUCAAACAAGUUGGAUAUCAUGUAAAUGGACUGUGGAAGGCUUGUAGUAGUUCUCACUCCUGGCUUGACAACAUAAUCUCUAAACUCCCCCAAAAUGAACAAAUUAAUGACACUACCCUGGGAGGUGUAACUUGUGCUCCUCCAGGAUUUGUCUUUGUCUGUGGCAUAGGGAGUGACUCGCCAACGCAAGGAUGGGCACAUCGCUGCUUAGACAGCUGGCAAAUGCAAGGGUCAUGUCUACUGGGAUAUUUUAGGACCCCCUUCUCCGUGCACAGCCUGCAGAGCAUCACUUCCCACUCUAAAUCAAACUCCCGCCUUAAAAGAGAGAUAAUGGCUAGGUAUGAGGACAAUAAAGGACAAAGCAACCUCAUACCAAGUGCCGGAAUUUAUAUCAAUAGAGAUAUGAUCCGUAACCUAUCUGCCACAAUUGAACAAAUUGCUGAGGACACAGCUGAAAGUAUUGCAGCCCAACACACAUCUUUGAACUCCAUGGCUCGAGUGGUCCUGGAUAAUAGAAUGGCUCUUGAUUUCUUACGGGCAAAAGAAGGAGGAGUAUGUGCAGUGGCUCAUGACACAUGCUGCACAUACAUCAAUUCCAAUGGAGAAGUUGAAACCCAAGUAAAUAAAGUAAGUCAACAGGCUACCUGGUUAUAGGAUGGACCUAAAGAGGAUAUGCACCAGGACUUUUAUUUUCCUGGUUGCCAUCUGGAAUAGGGGGGACUCUUUGGGGGGUACUGAUUCAAGGGUCCACUUUGAUGAUCAUCCUCUUUGUAAUGUGCUUAUUAAUUUUCAAAUAUCUGUCCAGGUGCUGUGACAAAGUGGUCAAAAGAGAGACAAAUGUUUUCAUAAUCCAAAAUACUGAUGUUAAGCCUGGGACUUGGGAAUUCUUUGAAAAGAAGUUUCAAAACUUUCUCUCCUCUAAUCCUAAAGAAUUAACAUCGCCCCUGUUCAGCAGGAAGUAGCCAGAGCGGUCGUCGCCCCUGUUCCCCUUAGGAUUGAGGAGUAUGGAAGAAAGGGGGAACUGAAACUGAGCAGGAUCCUGCAGGGCCUUCCUGGAUACAGUGCCCUCUGUGUCCCCCACUUCCUGUUUGUAGAAAAAUCUUUAGUCCCCUAGGCCUUUGCAGGUUCCAAAGAGCAGACUCAAGCAGUUAAUAAUUAUAGAAGUGAAAAAAAAAUGCAGAAACAAAGAAUAGCAAUCAAGCAAGAAAAGUUCAGCCAUAAAGCAGAGUCACAGGACUCCUAGUUCCUCCUCAAGGGAUAUAGAUAACAAUCCAAUGCAUUUUCUUGAGUUGUUUUACAGAAACCAAGACCCCGUGAUGAAACCUGCUGACCACAGCCAUGGAGACCCAGAAAAGUUGGAACCAGAAGAGUGAUGACCAAGAUGGCAGAAAUAUAACUUUGUUGCUUAACACCCAGACAAUCAGAAGAAUCCAUAAGCUAAUCACAUGCUUAAGACACUCAUCCUUAAUUUUAGUCUUUAAAAACCCUUGCCUGAAAGCUAUCAGGGAGUUCAGGUCCAUUAAGCAUUAGCUGCCCAUCCUGCUUGCUUGACAUCCUGUGAAUAAAUGCUGUACUUUUCUUCAUCACAAUCCAGUGUCAGUGGAUUGACUUUACUGUGCAUUGGGCACCUGUGGCAUGUGAAAUUUCCUGGACCACAGCAGUGACCUGAGCUGCUGCAGUGACAACACCAUGUCCUUAACCCACUGCAUCACAAGGGAACUCCUUAGGAAUACUUUCAAGCAUACAAAAGAAUAAACUCUCACCCAGAUUCAAGAACAAGCAUCUUCUUUAUUUACUUCAUCUGUUCCUUUUUUUUUUUUUUUUUUUUUGGCUGAAGUAUUUUAAAGUAAAUUCCAACCACAAUACUACUUCACCCUUAAAAACUUCAGUAUCUACCUCUUAAAAUAUAAAAAUGUUUUUUCAAAUAAUCACAAUAAUAUUGCCCCAGCUAAUAAAUUUCAAAUUCCUUAAUAUUUAGUCCAUAUGCAAAAUUUCCUUCUACAAUUUAUUUAUUCAAGACAGAAUCUAAAUAAGAGGCACAUAGUUCUCUUUGUCUGCUAAACUAGAGCAGCCCCUCAUCCCCCAAGUCAUGGAGUUAUUGGAGUCCUGUUGAAGAUCCUACCUGUGGAUUUUCUGGUUGCUUCCUCACACUCACGUUGAUAGCUUUAGAUACAACUUCUAUUUUUAGUUUGUUUCAUCAAGAGGGUGUAUGUAACUAACAUUGAUCACUUUUUUAUUAGUAAUCAUUCUUAUGUUUUCAGUUUUGACCUUUUCUGUAACGUAACGCCUUUCAUAUACGUUUUUAACCUUCAUCUGUCGUUCAUAAUUUGAGUUAUUUUAUAACAAAUAAAUGCUAAAUUUAAGAGUUUUUAAUAACCAAUAUAGAUUGUUUAAGUGGUUAAAGUAGUGAAUUAUGUUUAUAAAUUAUUUGCUUUUAAA